rnacentral:misc_RNA from 1 species
CAGGAAGGCUGGAGAGACCCAUUCUGAUCAAAAUUUCAGGUACAAAACAAGUCUUUGGAAAUAUGAAGAACUGGGAUCAGCUUAGAUGAAUCAAAAAAGAUCAGUAGAAUGUGAAAGUAGUCAAAGUUCUGACUUCUGAGUUCAAACGGUUCUGCAGUUUGAUCUUUUUCUUGAUAUCUGAUCAGAAUCAGAGAGGGUUGGCUUCAAAGGAUGAGAAGAAGAGAGAUUAUCAACAGGAUGAAGCAAAGAGACGAUCGAGAUUCACAGAAUCGGUGAGAAGUUCAUUCCCCU